UUACAGUCAUACCACAUUAAAACAUUGGUUCUCAUAUGAUCACCAAAGUUAAGCAAGCCAAGGCUGGUUAGUACAUAGAUGGGUGACUGCUUGGGAAUACCAGAUGCUGUAAG